ensembl:lincRNA uncharacterized LOC110294591
ACAGAUUUGGUGGUAGGAGCAUCAUCAACCUGAACAAUGCAUCUCUGGCUUUCUAGUACACAGAACAGACUUUGUGUGUGAAUCCCAACAGGGACAAGGAGAAAGAGUGACAGCUGAUGUCAGACUUGGCUUCCAAAAUGCCUACCUACUCUUCAAAUUCUUCAUCUUCCAUCACGUUUUACCUCCAGUUGCUGUGCAAAUGAAUGGGUUCAAUCUGGGGUGUCUCAUAGAUGCUUAAGCAGCAAUAGUCAUGCUUCUGAUGCUGCUUGGAGUUUAUAUCCAAGGGCUGGGGCAUCACUGGUCCUCCGCUGGCUAUUCAGGACUUUCACACAAGACUGGGAAAAAACGAACAACUCUUUGAAGUUCGCCACUCAGGAAUACAGUAGUUUGGAAG